rnacentral:lncRNA from 1 species
CCGUACGUAGCUUGGCCAUGCAUUUUCAGAUCCGAUCACUCGAGGGGCCCAGCGAUAUCAGUCUCAAUCAGAGAGGGGCAAAUCCCAUCUUGAUUGACCAUGUCUCACAGCAUGCUUCUUGACAAACCCGAAAGCUACCUUUUUAACUACCCUAUUACGGUGUAACGUUUGAUAGCCCCUAAGUAAGUCGAUUCACAUCUUGAGUACAUGCGACAAUCUCAGGUCUAAG